ACAUGCAGUCGAGCGCAGGAAUCGACGGAACCCUUCGGGGGGAAGUCGACGGAAUGAGCGGCGGACGGGUGAGUAACACGUAAAGAACCUGCCCUCAGGUCUGGGAUAACCACGAGAAAUCGGGGCUAAUACCGGAUGGGUCAUCGGACCGCAUGGUCCGAGGAUGAAAGGCGCUUCGGCGUCGCCUGGGGAUGGCUUUGCGGUGCAUUAGCUAGUUGGUGGGGUAAUGGCCCACCAAGGCGACGAUGCAUAGCCGACCUGAGAGGGUGAUCGGCCACACUGGGACUGAGACACGGCCCAGACUCCUACGGGAGGCAGCAGUAGGGAAUCUUCCACAAUGGACGAAAGUCUGAUGGAGCAACGCCGCGUGAACGAUGAAGGCCUUCGGGUCGUAAAGUUCUGUUGUAAGGGAAGAACAAGUGCCGCAGGCAAUGGCGGCACCUUGACGGUACCUUGCGAGAAAGCCACGGCUAACUACGUGCCAGCAGCCGCGGUAAUACGUAGGUGGCAAGCGUUGUCCGGAAUUAUUGGGCGUAAAGCGCGCGCAGGCGGCCUCUUAAGUCUGAUGUGAAAGCCCCCGGCUCAACCGGGGAGGGCCAUUGGAAACUGGGAGGCUUGAGUAUAGGAGAGAAGAGUGGAAUUCCACGUGUAGCGGUGAAAUGCGUAGAGAUGUGGAGGAACACCAGUGGCGA
rnacentral:rRNA from 1 species